AAGUCGUAACAAGGUUUCCGUAGGUGAACCUGCGGAAGGAUCAUUAACCUUUCAAAUCAGGGUGCGGCGCGGCCCCCGAGGAGCGGAAACAAUCCUUGGGAGGUAUGCGGGGGCUUCGAGCCCCCCAUUUACGCACGCACGACUGCCAUCCUUACUUUACGAGCACCUUCUGUUCUCCCUCGGCGGGGCAACCUGCCGUUGGAACCGAAUAAACUCUUUUUGCAUCUAGCAUUACCUGUUCCGAAACAAACGAUCGUUACAACUUUCAACAAUGGAUCUCUUGGCUCUG
rnacentral:misc_RNA from 1 species